rnacentral:rRNA from 1 species
CCUACGGGAGGCAGCAGUAGGGAAUCUUCCGCAAUGGACGAAAGUCUGACGGAGCAACGCCGCGUGAACGAUGAAGGCCUUCGGGUCGUAAAGUUCUGUUGUUAGGGAAGAACAAGUGCUAGUUGAAUAAGCUGGCACCUUGACGGUACCUAACCAGAAAGCCACGGCUAACUACGUGCCAGCAGCCGCGGUAAUACGUAGGUGGCAAGCGUUGUCCGGAAUUAUUGGGCGUAAAGCGCGCGCAGGCGGUUUCUUAAGUCUGAUGUGAAAGCCCCCGGCUCAACCGGGGAGGGUCAUUGGAAACUGGGAAACUUGAGUGCAGAAGAGGAAAGUGGAAUUCCAAGUGUAGCGGUGAAAUGCGUAGAGAUUUGGAGGAACACCAGUGGCGAAGGCGACUUUCUGGUCUGUAACUGACGCUGAGGCGCGAAAGCGUGGGGAGCAAACAGGAUUAGAUACCCUGGUAGUCCACGCUGUAAACGAUGAGUGCUAAGUGUUAGAGGGUUUCCGCCCUUUAGUGCUGAAGUUAACGCAUUAAGCACUCCGCCUGGGGGACGUCGCAAGACUGAAACUCAAANAGAGUAGACGCGUGAGACGUAGCGACGGACGACGACGAGGGAGAGG